rnacentral:rRNA from 1 species
AGCAGUAGCCGCGGUAUACGUAGGUCCCGAGCGUUGUCCGGAUUUAUUGGGCGUAAAGCGAGCGCAGGCGGUUAGAUAAGUCUGAAGUUAAAGGCUGUGGCUUAACCAUAGUACGCUUUGGAAACUGUUUAACUUGAGUGCAAGAGGGGAGAGUGGAAUUCCAUGUGUAGCGGUGAAAUGCGUAGAUAUAUGGAGGAACACCGGUGGCGAAAGCGGCUCUCUGGCUUGUAACUGACGCUGAGGCUCAAAAGCGUGGGGAGCAAACAGGAUUAGAUACCCGCGUAGUCCCUGUCUCUUAUACAC